rnacentral:rRNA from 1 species
UAGGGAAUAUUAGUAAUGGGCGAAAGCCUGAACUAGCAACACCGCGUGUGCGAAGAAGGCCUUCGGGUUGUAAAGCACUUUUUGAGAGGAUGAGGAAGGACGGUACUCUCAGAAUAAGUCUCGGCUAACUACGUGCCAGCAGCCGCGGUAACACGUAGGAGGCAAACGUUAUCCGGAUUUACUGGGCGUAAAGCGCGUGUAGGUGGUUUGGUAAGUAGAGCGUGAAAGCUCCUGGCUCAACUGGGAGAGGUCGUUCUAAACUGCCGGACUAGAGGAUGGUAGAGGGCGGUAGAAUUCCAGGUGUAGCGGUGGAAUGCACAGAUAUCCGGAGGAACACCAGUGGCGAAAGCGGCCUCCUGGACCACUCCUGACACUCAGACGCGAAAACUAGGGUAGCAAACG